rnacentral:rRNA from 1 species
UCUUCCCUCUUUCUUCGUGCCUAAUACAUGCAAGUCGAGCGAACAGACGAGGAGCUUGCUCCUCUGACGUUAGCGGCGGACGGGUGAGUAACACGUGGAUAACCUACCUAUAAGACUGGGAUAACUUCGGGAAACCGGAGCUAAUACCGGAUAAUAUAUUGAACCGCAUGGUUCAAUAGUGAAAGACGGUUUUGCUGUCACUUAUAGAUGGAUCCGCGCCGCAUUAGCUAGUUGGUAAGGUAACGGCUUACCAAGGCAACGAUGCGUAGCCGACCUGAGAGGGUGAUCGGCCACACUGGAACUGAGACACGGUCCAGACUCCUACGGGAGGCAGCAGUAGGGAAUCUUCCGCAAUGGGCGAAAGCCUGACGGAGCAACGCCGCGUGAGUGAUGAAGGUCUUCGGAUCGUAAAACUCUGUUAUUAGGGAAGAACAAAUGUGUAAGUAACUAUGCACGUCUUGACGGUACCUAAUCAGAAAGCCACGGCUAACUACGUG